CUACGGGUUGCACCAGCUAGGGGUUUUUUACAAUGCGCGCAAGCGUGAUAAAGGGAUCCUGAGUGCUCAUGCAUAGCAUGGGCUUUUGCCAAGAGUAAAUAUCUUGGCGAAUAAGUGGUGGGCAAGACUGGUGCCAGCCGCCGCGGUAACACCAGCGCCACAAGUGGCAAUCGUUAUUAUUGGGUCUAAAGCAUCCGUAGCCGGACUGCUAAGUUUUCUGUGAAAUCGUUCAGCUUAACUGAACGGCGUGCAGGAAAUACUGGCAGUCUUGGGACUGGGAGGGGUAAGAAGUAUUCUGGGGGGAGCGGUAAAAUGCUAUAAUCCUCAGAGGACUACCGAUGGCGAAGGCAUCUUACCAGAACAGAUCUGACGGUGAGGGAUGAAAGCUAGGGGAGCGAUCCGGAUUAGAUACCCCAGUAGUC
rnacentral:rRNA from 1 species